rnacentral:lncRNA from 1 species
AGCAUAUUCAUUGAGCAUCCCUCGGGGAACUAAUAACGUCUUAGAAGAUUAGUGGCUCUUCCAUUGUUCGCGAUUUUUUUCCCUGGCAUUGGGGAGAUUUAAGAGAUCAGUUAGAAUAGCUUUAAUUAGUAAUUCGCUUCUAAUUAAAGUGAAAAAAAAAAUACAAGUAUGAGAUUCUGUACGCAUUAGACAUUGUCUAUAAUAAUAAUACCACGCGAAGAAUCUCAAUGUGCCAAUCGAUUUCUAUUAAUAAAAUAUCAAAUAAUUUAUAUUAAUACAGUCAAUUUGGAUUGAGACAUACAAUAAGCUCGACGUACUUAUUACAUUUUGAUAUUUUUAUCUUUAUAUAAAUAUUAACAAAUUAAAGUAGUUUGAGCCAAAAACUUUUAUACAAUUGAGUAUUAUUUAUUUCACAGUAAAUUUCUUUCAUCCAAUUUAUUUUUUCUAUUCUCACUCUUUUCUUGGGAUAAUUUAGUUUUAAUGCAAUUUUUUUAUGCAGUAGCACAACUACAUUAAUCCCGCCGCCGCCGCCGCCCCCACCAACGGCAAUUUGGAUCAGAUCUUCUACCACUUCCGUUGCCAUGCAAUCAGCUAGUCAGCCUCUUCUUCGUUGUUCAUGGCUUUUGCAUUAUAGAACUAAAGUUAUAUUUUCUUAAAAUUAAAUAUCUUUAAUUAAUAGGGUUUUUAGGCUUGUGAUUAUUCUUUAAUUGCUAAAUUUUUAUCUAACACUCAAAUCAUUUUCAUUGCUGGAAUGCUUAAUAUAUUUAAUAUUGUAAUAAAUCUUAUGAGCGAGAGAUGGACGAAGCUAUUCAGGAAUUGGAACGAUCGCGACGGCUGAAAGCAGCGCAAUGAGGGUGAAAUAAAUUAAAGUCACUACAUAUAUAUAUUAACUCUGACUUAGUAUUGUUGUAUCAUCGAUGAUUCUCAAUCUCAAUAAUUCAUAUUAUCGUUAGAGUUUAAUUUUGAUAAAAGAAUUAAUAAUUUUAUCGUAUAUGAUAAUUCAUAAAUUUUUUAGGGUCAGGAACUCGGAAUUCAGGAUAAUUGAUAAUGAAAUGAUAAUGUAAAUACAUAUUAUAAUUAAAUUCUUAUUAUCAAUAAAUUGUUACUCAAAGUGGUAUUAAGCUCGGCAUGAUAACAAAAAAGAAUUAAACUCUUAUCAUUAUUGCGCCUAUAUCAAAUCAAUGAAAAACAGAGGGUUGAGACCAAAGAAAAUAAAAAUGAAUACUGCAACACAGUAUUUGAUCUAGAUUGGGAAUAAAAACUUUCAAGAGUUAAUUGAUAACAUAACACAAAUAGUAGGUUACAUCAGAAGUUGACGAAAGCAGGGAGAAGCGUGAGAAAGUGAAAGCAUCGAAGGAAGUAGAAGUAGCAGCAGUUGUUGUUGUUUUGUCUGCGCUUGAGGUCUUUGAUUUCCCGUUGGCUUCUGAUGCUCUCCAUCACUACAUCCUCCUUAUACAUACAAUCAUCGUUCAUUUCUCGGUGGUCAUCGUUGCCGUAGAAUACGUCUCCCAUACCUUCGUCUCACCCACAGUUGUCACUAUGAUCCCUUUAGCUAUGGCGACAUAGAUCACUAAAACAACUUUCUUAUUAUUUUUUUAUACAUUUCAUUAGGAGAAUCUUACCUGUUACCAAAACUCCAUUCUGUUUUCAGUUAAAUUUUAUAACUUUAAAUGAAACAGUUGACUUCGAUUAAUCCCUAAAAAUAAUAAAGGUUGCGUAAAAUAACGACUCUACAUGUUAAAUAAAAAUGGGAUAUGGAUAAGUACAAAACGUGGACAAAGAUAAGCAUUAUAAGAAUACCCAAUUGUUUACAUUUUAUAAUGUUCACCCGCCGCCCUCACGAAGUAACCCUGUUUAUAAUAGUAUUCAAUAAGUAGUCACAAAUAUAUAAGUCGCAAGAAUCUUC